ACUACGCCUUAGCUAAGCUAAACUAAGCUAAGGCCUAGUCCACACGUACACAGGUAUUUCUUUUUUAAACGGGGAACUUUCGUCCAAACGUAAACUGCAUUUUAGGUCACUGAAAACGGACCUUUUGGAAAAACUCCUUCCAUGGUGAAGAUAUUCAGAAAGUCCGUUUUAAGUGUUUACAGGGAAAAUUGAGAUUUUGGCUUGUAACGUCAGAACGUGCGCCGUUAUCUCCAGUUUGACAUCGAUGUGCGCCGUUAUCUCCUUUGUUUACAUGAGGCGAUUUUGGUGCAAUGGCGCAAAUAGUCAAAUAGUGCUGUUUUUAAUCUUGCUAACAGGAUGUUUUCACAAACGUACUGUUACUCUCCCACUAUAUUGAGGAACAGGAGCAAAGGAGUGGCAUUCCGAUGGAGUUUGCAUGGUGGCUGCCCCUUAUGCUGACAAACAAGCAGCCAAAGGAUGGAAGCAGUGCGAGAACUGUUUGAAACAGCGAGUUGGAGGCCAGGAGUGGAGGUCCAACCUACGACUUCCAAGUCAAAUUGAAGAAAGUAACAGUCACGGAAGUAGGCUGAUUGAGUAUAACACAAAACAACAAUCCUGCAGUCCUGUAAUACUUUCAAUGACCUCAAAGCUGUCCUCAACCAGGUGUGUGCGGGAAGGUCUUCACACCGGACCCG
ensembl:lncRNA uncharacterized LOC114840385